UACGUAGGCAGCAAGCGUUGUUCGGAGUUACUGGGCGUAAAGAGUGCGUAGGCGGUCCGGCAAGUUCGGUGUGAAAUCUCCCGGCUUAACUGGGAGGGUGCGCCGAAGACUGUUGGGCUGGAGUGUGGGAGAGGCAGGCGGAAUUCCUGGUGUAGCGGUGAAAUGCGUAGAUAUCAGGAGGAACACCGGUGGUGUAGGCGGCCUGCUGGACCAUAACUGACGCUGAGGCACGAAAGCGUGGGGAGCAAACAGG
rnacentral:rRNA from 1 species